GACGAACGCUGGCGGCGUGCUUAACACAUGCAAGUCGAACGGAAAGGCCCUGCUUUUGUGGGGUGCUCGAGUGGCGAACGGGUGAGUAACAAGUGAGUAACCUGCCCUUGACUUUGGGAUAACUUCAGGAAACUGGGGCUAAUACCGGAUAGGAGCUCCUGCUGCAUGGUGGGGGUUGGAAAGUUUCGGCGGUUGGGGAUGGACUCGCGGCUUAUCAGCUUGUUGGUGGGGUAGUGGCUUACCAAGGCUUUGACGGGUAGCCGGCCUGAGAGGGUGACCGGCCACAUUGGGACUGCGAGACGGACCAGACGCCUACGUGAGGCAGCAGUGGGGAAUAUUGCACAAUGGGCGGAAGCCUGAUGCAGCAACGCCGGGUGCGGGAUGACGGCCUUCGGGUUGUAAACCGCUUUCGCCUGUGACGAAGCGUGAGUGACGGUAAUGGGUAAAGAAGCACCGGCUAACUACGUG
rnacentral:rRNA from 1 species